GCAUGAGUAGUAUAGCGGUAGAAUUCUUGCCUUCCAAAAACAAGAGGCCCGGGACCGACUCCCGGCUCAUGCA